GGUGUUGAAUGAAACAUAGGCUUCGUCUUUUCAUUCUGGAAGGCCUGAGGACUACAGGACAGAUUCUGAUUUCAGUUCCACAGUGUAUCCAUUGAAGUCAAUAGAGUGAUUCUGGAUUUAUAUCAUGCGGGUGUCCUUUCCAAGGAAAUGGAAAUGGGAGAUUGUACUGAUCACAAGAGCUGAGAACCACAAAGUUGCUUAUUUCCAUGGAUCCAGAGACAAAUUUUACUCUCGUUUGCAUCAGUAUGAAACCAGAGGACAAUAGAGCCACUGAAAUCAAUGGUUUUACACCAGUGUAAAGCCUGUGCAAGAGAAAAUUCAGGCUUCAUUCUCCAUUAUUUCUGAAAUAUUUCCAGAAAAACUAUCAUUAGUUAACUAUUUUGGUUUAGCAAGUACUUUUAGUUUUCAGACGUCUCCUGUCAUGAUUCUGGGUUUGGAACCAUGAUAAAAAAUUGGUAGUUAUAGAAUUGGUAGUUCUGUCUGGUUACACAGGAUUUUUCAAUGAACUUUGAAAACUCAUAAGGACCUAUGCAAAAUCCAUUUAUGUCAAUUGAAAAAAUGUUUUUUGGUUAAGACCUUAGUUCAGACAUAUUCAGUUUGGAUAUAGUUCAAAUAAGCAUCUCAACUUUGGCAACCAAACAGAGUAAAUUAUUAGAAAAAUGUGCCACACUGUACCUGUGUAUAGAUCUUAUGAGGAGUAUUGUUUUACUAUCCAUCUGUCCAUUCUAUAGCACUCUAAGAGCAUGAGAAUGCAUUGUAAAAUAAAACCCUGAUUGAUUUA